UUGCUUCUGUAGCACAUAUACUAAAAUUGGAACGAUACAGAGAAGAUUAGCAUGGCCCCUGCACAAGGAUGACAUGCAAAUUCAUGAAGCUCUCCAUUAAAAA
ensembl:snRNA U6 U6 spliceosomal RNA